rnacentral:lncRNA from 1 species
CUCCUUCCACCAUGGGCGGGUGCGCAGGGUUCCAUCAGCCGGAGGGAACCCGGGGCAGCGCUGUUCAACAGGACCAGACUGCGCCUGCGCCUUGGUCGGGCUCGGAUUUAGCCUCCGGAACUUGAGGAAUGAAUUUCUGUUGUUCAAACCACCCAGUCUACGGCGCGUUGUUAUGGCAACUACAGCUGAAUACAAGAUAGGCUAUUUAUUAUCUUAUGAAAAUAAUUUGUUUUUGGAAAAAAAUCAUAAAACAUUUAAGAAGGCUGAAAAAAGUAGAAGAAAAAUGGGUCCCAAAUCUCAUUUCUCAAAGAUUAUCAUCAACAGAAACCUGGCAAAUGUUCUUCCAGGCACCAACUCCGGCUGCUAUAUAUGAGAAAUACUGUGAGCAGCAUGGAUAUCACUUGACCUGUCCUGACCUCAGCUCUUGCAGGACGGCUUGGCACUGGAUGGGACAGGGCACAGCCUGGAGGGAUCUUCUGUCACUUUGGGGCUGUGUUCUCUGGGGGACUUCCUGAGUCUCCCCAACAGCUCAUUUCAAGGCCACAGAGACUCAUGCCUGACACAAAGUAGGCAUUUAGUAAAUUAUUGAAUGAACAAAAUAAAAAUUUCUCAAGGAAAAACAGUCUUGUCUUGAUAGAUUUG